rnacentral:misc_RNA from 1 species
GAUGAAGAACGUAGCGAAAUGCGAUAAGUAAUGUGAAUUGCAGAAUUCAGUGAAUCAUCGAAUCUUUGAACGCACAUUGCGCCCGCCAGUAUUCUGGCGGGCAUGCCUGUCUGAGCGUCAUUUCAACCCUCAUGCCCCUAGGGCGUGGUGUUGGGGAUCGGCCAAAGCCCGCGAGGGACGGCCGGCCCCUAAAUCUAGUGGCGGACCCGUCGUGGCCUCCUCUGCGAAGUAGUGAUAUUCCGCAUCGGAGAGCGAUGAGCCCCUGCCGUUAAACCCCCAACUUUCCAAGGUUGACCUCAGAUCAGGUAGGAAUACCCGCUGAACUUAAGCAUAUCAUAGCGGAGGA